ensembl:misc_RNA Metazoa_SRP Metazoan signal recognition particle RNA
GCUGGGCAUGGUGGUGCAUGCCUGUAAUCCCAGCUACUUGGGAGGCUGAGGCAGGAGAAUUGCUUGAACCUGGGAGGGGAAGGUUGCAGUGAGCUGAGAUGGCACCACUGCAUUUCAGCCUGGGUGACAGAGCAAGACUCUGUCUCAA